rnacentral:rRNA from 1 species
UUUGAUCCUGGCUCAGGAUGAACGCUGGCGGCGUGCCUAACACAUGCAAGUCGAACGGGGCGCGCAGGCUGAGGCUUUUCGGAGCGGAAGCCGGCGCUGCCCAGUGGCGGACGGGUGAGUAACGCGUGGGCAACCUGCCCUGCACUGGGGGACAACAGCCGGAAACGGCUGCUAAUACCGCAUAUGCCCGCAGCCCCGCAUGGGGCGGCGGGGGAAGCUCCGGCGGUGCAGGAUGGGCCCGCGUCUGAUUAGCUGGUUGGCGGGGCAACGGCCCACCAAGGCGACGAUCAGUAGCCGGCCUGAGAGGGUGGCGGCCACAUUGGGACUGAGACACGGCCCAGACUCCUACGGGAGGCAGCAGUGGGGGAUAUUGCACAAUGGGGGGAACCCUGAUGCAGCGACGCCGCGUGGGCGAUGGAGUGCUUCGGCAUGUAAAGCCCUAUCAGCAGGGAAGAAAAUGACGGUACCUGACUAAGAAGCCCCGGCUAAAUACGUG